rnacentral:miRNA from 1 species
AUAAAGCUGUUUCACUAAAUGU